UAAGUGCAACAAGAAAAACAGAGCAGACAGCAGACAGUAGCUUUAAGGGGCAAAGCGGUAAUAUUAACUACACGUUUCCAAGUGACAAUAUACAAAGACAAAAAUGGAUGUCUGUAUUUAGACUUUUAUCCAUCACAAAAAGUGCUACAAUAUGUGAUGAUCAUUUUAAUGAUGAUGCAUUUCAUCAAACAGAUGGCUAUACAAGAGUCAGACGAUUGGUGCCAGGUACUAUUCCUGUGAACAAGUCAGUGGAUUCCAUCAAAACAAAUAUUCAAGUGGAGACUAACACAACUAUUUGUGAUACAAGGACCAACUUAAACUUAGAAAAGUCUGAGUGUGUAAAUAUGCAAGUUGAGGAAAAUCUAAAAGAAAUUGGAACUGAACUCGAUUCUUCUUCAUUGUUGAUGGUACACAAAGAAGUUGAACAAAUCAAAGAAAGUGUCUGAUUUAAAUGCAUCCAUAUUUUCACACGCUGAUGUUAAAAACCAAGACAGUAAUAGAAAACGUUCAGCAAGUGAUGUUAUUGAAGACAUUCCUGUGAAAAAAAAAGAUUGAAAGACAGUUCGAGCUUAGAAUGUUCAAAAACAAAAAUAAGAUUCAUGGAUGGAUAUGUGACAAAAUAUUUGUGCAGAGAAGACUUUGUAUCAAACGAAGCGUGGCAACGAUUUUUGAGUUAUAAAGUCUGCCAAGAACAUCAUAUUGAGGCUCUCCAAAAAAAAA